GUGGGUGUAGUUCAAUGGUUAGAAUGCUUCCCUGUGAAGGAAGAGGUUGUGGGUUCGAAUCCCAUCACCCACCCCA
rnacentral:tRNA from 1 species